rnacentral:rRNA from 1 species
UACGAAGGGGGCUAGCGUUGCUCGGAAUUACUGGGCGUAAAUCGCACGUAGGCGGCUUUCUAAGUCGGGGGUGAAAUCCUGGAGCUCAACUCCAGAACUGCCUUCGAUACUGGAGAGCUUGAGUCCGGGAGAGGUGAGUGGAACUGCGAGUGUAGAGGUGAAAUUCGUAGAUAUUCGCGAGAACACCAGUGGCGAAGGCGGCUCACUGGCCCGGUACUGACGCUGAGGUGCGAAAGCGUGGGGAGCAAACAGG